AAGCACAAUCAUAAUACUCAUAAAUAUUUAUCAACAUUAAAUUGAGAGAGGUAUCGUUCGUAAUGGCUUCAGCAUCAAAAGCCCUUGUGCUAUUCUUCACAGUGCUUAUUAUUUCUACCUCAAUCCCAUCAUCAUCAGCUACUUCAUCAUCAUCAUCAUCAUGUCCAAAGAAUACCCUCAAGUUGGAUGCAUGUGUUGAUUUGUUGAAUGGCUUGGCGAAGGUGAACCUUGGUGAACUUGUUCCCACACCAAAUCACCCAUGCUGCAGCCUUCUUGGUGAUUUGGUUAGAGUCCAAGCACGUGUCUGUCUUUGCACUUCCCUCAAACUCAACGUCUUGGAUUUGAUUAAACUCAACAUCCCAGAGCUUUCUGUCAACUUGCUCUUGAAUCAAUGCAGACCCAAGGUUCCUCGUGGCUACAAGUGCUGAUAAAUUAAUCCCACACUCAAUGAUCUCUUUUGUCAUCACCAAUUCAUCAUAUAUCUUCAACACCUUUUCAUGGUGUGUUUUGUUUAUGGGUAUUUUGCAUUAUGUUCAUUAAUAAUUCUUUUCAGUGUUGCUGAAAUUGGUUUAUUUUUUUGUUUAUUGUUUAAGGUAAUUGAAGUUCUUCAGCUUCUUCCUUAAUUAGCUACCUAUUGUUUGUUCCAUUUGCAUUUAAUUGAAAUGUAAUAUAUAGUACACAAUUGUGUGCCAAUUCAAUAUUAAUAAUAAAUUGCUGUUUUCUUUAAUUUUUUUCUGUGUCAAAGGAUUAUUAAUAUUAGCCACUUCAACACUGUUGGCAUGAAUCGAUUUACUUAACAAUCAUUCAUAUUACUCUCUCUUCAGGCGCCAAUGCAUGGAUCAGAUGGCACAAUUAUCUCUUUCUCUUGUGAGAAACAUAAAAAUCGAUGGCUCAAUUUAUCAGAAAAAUAUUCAUUAUAUGGCUAGGGUCGAGUAAUUUGGCAGAAGGUUAUCUUUCUAAAAGUAAAAUAUAAAUAAUGGACCCUUCUAUGAUGAUGUCUAAAAAUCUCAACAUCAAUAGGGAUUAAUGUGGACUAUUAGAUUAAAUCUAUUGUUUAUAAUAAGUAAACAAAACAAAUAAAAAAAUAAAAGUGAAAAGUUAACUCUUUACUGGUUAAAUAACAUAAAUUUGAUAAAGGAUAAGAAAAGAAAUCAUACUAGUUAAAUAGGAUAGAGAAAGGUUUACAACUUGAAAAGAAGAAAAAUUAAUUCAAAUACAACAACUAAAUACCAUAAAAAUCUGAUUAUUUAAUGCCUUGUAUUUUAUAUGUACAAAAUAUAAUUAAAUAUAAUUAAAUAUAAUUAAUUAUACUAUUUGUUUAUAAAAGAUAUAAAAGUUACGUAGUAUAAAUUCUUUCUUAUACACACUUGUUAAAAAGUUUCACUCAUAAACAAAUUGUAUUUUUAUCUUAUAUCACUAAAUUAUAAUUACAUUGCUUGAUUGAUAUAAAGCUUUAGUUAUGUUACAUCGUCAUGUAACAUACAUGAUUCUUCAUUCGACGGUUGCGAAAAUAACAUGAUUUAUUAUCUUAUAUUUCCACAACCAUUGGAUUUUCAUCCAACAGCUGUGGAAUAAUCAUGCAUCUUACAUGAUAAUGUAAGGUAACAAUCUCCUUUAUAUAAACCUCGUAAUGUAAUAUUGUUGAUUUUGAUAAAUUAUACGCUAGUGAAAAGUAAAAAAAAAAUUCAUAUAUAUAAUGAUUUAUCUUCAUAUAUAAUAGGAUAUAAGCUAGACUUAAAUUAAAUUAAAAUAUAAGGAAUUACUUAUAAUUUGGGUAACUGAUAACUAUCUGUUAAAGAUAAAUCAAGGGUUUGGGUGCUUCAUUUUAAAUCAAACGGUUCACGAUAAUCCCAUUAUUAAUACUAUAACUGUUUUAACACCAUCGUAGAGAAAUCCAUAAAUAAUUCUUUGUUUCAAUCUAUUUGCUAUUAUAUAUCACAUAUCUGAUUAAUUCCCGAAAUUCGUUAUUAAUUUCAUAAGAAAAAUAAACAAACUCAAAGAUCAACAAAAAGCAGUAUAAGAAUAAAAACAACUCCACAAGUCACAAUUAAUAAUAUGAAAGGUUCUGGCCACCCUAGUUCGAAUCAUGAGAAAGUGGAGGAAUAAAAAAAAAAAUUUGAAGUGUUGCCCUACUCUACUAGAUUGCUCCCUCAUUUCACUUAUGUUUGAAGACGUAGUUGAAAGAUAUAAUACCGAUCUUGUGAUCAAAGAUUUAAAUAUAUGUGCUACAAAAUUUAGCCAAAGAUUUUUCACUUCGGUCUACUUUUACAUAAUUAUUUCUAUUUCUUAUUUAUUUACAUAAAAAUUCCCUUUUCAUCCCUAAAGUUCAUUUAAGUAUCUAAUCGAACCUAAUAUUCUUAAAUAUGCCUUAAAUCUCUGUGUUGUUAUAUUUGUUAAUUACUUUAAAAAGGGCUAUCUUUUAAUUUCUUUUACAUUUCUACCCUUAAAUAUUAAAUGAAGUUUAUCCGUAGUCAAGGCUGUAAUUGUAUAGAUAUCCAUCUAAUUGGAAAAAAAAUAUAUUUUAUGUAUAUGAUUUUAUAUAUAUACAUCUAGUUGUAAUUACGUGUGCUUCCUCCCUUAUGAUCUCUCCCUAACGUGCAAAAUCUUAUGACAACGCUGCAACCAAAUGAAAUUAAUUGUUGUUUCGAUAGCAUUAUAUGCUGAUGAGGUGGCGAAAGAAUGAUUAGUUGUAGAUUUGUUGUUGAUAUCAUGUUAUUAAUUUUAGAUUGCCCCUAGGGGCUUAAUCUCACUAGUUUUUAAAUAAUCUUUAUUUUUAUUUGUAUUUCAAGUUUGAAUUUUAGAGGAGGUACAAGAUUAGAUAAUUGAUUUUGCUUGUCUUCAGUCCUCUACUUAAAGAGAAAAUGAUUCAAAAAAAUUAGUCUAAUGAUUUUUAAGUAGGCUUUUCUUGAAUAUUCAUGUGAAUUCAAAUCCUAGAAACAGGCGAUUAAAAAUUUGAUUUUCACUUUGACCACCCUCCUAAUUGUUAAAAAUCUUGAAAAAAUGUUAUUAAUUUUGGAUGGGUUUAUUACAUAUCUCCAAGUCUAUUUGGAAUUAAUUAGAAAAUUUUAAUAAUUUUUUAAUGUUGUUCAUGCUAACGACGUGAAACCAAUGAUCGGCAUAUAUAUGUAUACUAGAAAAUAGAACCGCGCUUCACGCGGCUUUGAAAAAGAAUUUAGUAUUAUCUUUUUUUCUUACUUUACACUUAAUGAAAUUGAUUAAAAAAUAUGAAUUGAUUUUUUUUUAAGAUGAUGCAGCCUUAUAAAAAACAAAAAAAGUUAUUAGCCAGCAAUAAAGAAGCAACGCAAGAUAAAGAAUAAAAUGAGAGAAUAUAUUAUAGAGUGAUUUUAUUCAUUCCAAUUGUGUGUGUACAAAACAAAAAGAUGAGUUCUCCUUUUAUAGUUACAUAAUCACUCCAUGAAAUUAAUGAAAAAUUAUGGAUCAUAAUUCCUUGUGAGAUAGUGGGAGUUAGAGGGAAGCUAAAAGUUGCUAAUGGGAGAUCAUUGGGAGACUAAGAGAUAUAUGUUAUGAACAUCUACAUUUAUUUUAAUAAAUUCAUAACACUCCCUCUUGGAUGUUCAUUACAAAGAAUAUGCCUCAUUAAAAUCUUUACAUAAUUGUUAUUGUGUAAUAGCAAUCAAAUUAAUUAUGAGAAGAUGAAAAUCCAAAUCUAAAACAAAAUUUCUCUAUUUAUUAGAUAAUAGAGAAUAUACAAAGAUGAGAAAUGGUGAUGCCACAUCACCUCCUCAAGUCCCAGCUAUAUAUAUAUAUAUAGAUAUAAAGAUAUAUAGAUAUAUAUAGAUAUAUAGAUAUAUAGAUAUAGAUUGUUUGGAAAUUAAAAACUAAUAAAAGCCAAAUAGAUAGCCUAUAAAUGCCCAACACUCUUCACCAUUAUUUUCAUCACAUCUCAAUACGCACGAUCAAUAAUACUCACAAAUAUUAUUCAACAUUAAAUUGAGAGAGAUAUCAUUCGAAAUGGCUUCAGCAUCAAAAGCCCUUGUGCUAUUCCUCACAUUGCUUAUUAUUACUACCUCAAUCCCGUUAUCAUCGGCUACAUCAUCAUCAUCAUCAUCAUCAUCAUCAUCAUCAUGAUGUCCAAAGAAUACCCUCAAAUUGGAUGCAUGUGUUGAUUUGUUGAAUGGCUUGGCGAAGGUGAACCUUGGCGAACUUGUUCCCACUCCAAAUCAACACAUACAUCCAACUUGAUUAUUUUUACUCAUGUUUGAUGAUGUAAUUGAAAAAUAUAAUACCGGUCUAGUGGUCAAAGAUUUAAAUCUAUGUGCUACAAAAUUUAGCCAAAGAUUUUCACUUACAGUCUACUUUACUUCCAUGUCUUAUUUAUUUAGCUGAAAACUCCCUUUUCUUAUCUAAGAUUUAUUUAAUUACCUAAUUGGUCCUCGGAUAGUUGUAUUCUUAAAUAUGCCUUAAAAGACUAUGCUGUUACUUUUGUUCAUUUAGCCAAAGCCAUUUUUAACUUCUUUUACAUUUUUAUCAUUGAAAUGUUAAGUAAAGUUUAUCCUAAAUCAAAGAAGUAAUUAUACAAAUAUCCUUCUAAUUCAAAAAAUAAUAUUGUACGUGAUUUUAUAUAAAUAUCCAUCUAGUUGUAAACUUGUAAUACAUGUGCUUCCUCUCUUCCAAGAUCUCUUCCGAACGUGCAAGAUCUUAUUACAGCUCUGCAACCAAAUCAAAUUAAUAGUUGUUUCGAUAACCUCAUAUGCUGGUGAGGUGGCCGAAGAAUGAUUACUUAUAGAUUUCUUAACAAUACAUUGGAUGUCAUGUUAUUAAAUUUUAUGUUAUCAAACUUUUUUUUUUUUUAUUAGCAAUCGAAGUUUGAAUAUUAAACAAAGAUAAAUGGUUAAAAAUUUGAUUUAGGUUGUAUAUAUACCUUUAUCUUAAAAAGAAAAAAAAAAAAAGCCUUUACGAAUUCGACCGAAUGGCUUCAAGCAAGCUUAUUUUUACUAAUCAUCUGAAUUCGAAUUCUAGAGAUAAGAGACUAAAAAAUUAUCUGAAACUCUACCCAUUCUCCACUCCUAAAAGAAAAAUGUUAUCAAUUUUAUAUGGGAAUAUUAUUGCAUUAUCUCCAAAUCUAGUUGGAACUAAUUAGAAAUUUUAUUAGUAAUUGUUUUAUGCUAUUCGUGCCAGCGACGUGAAAGCGAUGAUCUAUAUACGUACGUGUAAAUGGUGUGGAAAUUAAAAAAAUUUAAAAGCCAAAUGGAUAGCCUAUAAAAACCCAAAACUCUUCACCAUUAUUUUCAUCACAUCUCAAUAAGCACAAUCAAUAAUACUCACAAAUAUUAUUCAACAUUAAAUUGAGAGAGAUAUCAUUCGAAAUGGCGUCAGCAUCGAAAGCUCUUGUACUAUUCUUCACAGUGCUUAUUAUUGCUACCUCAAUCCCAUCAUCAUCAGCUACAUCAUCAUCAUCAUCAUCAUCAUCAUCAUCGUCGUCAUCAUCAUCUUCAUCAUGUCCAAAGAAUACCCUCAAGUUGGAUGCAUGCGUUGAUUUGUUGAAUGGCU
rnacentral:lncRNA from 1 species